rnacentral:rRNA from 1 species
CUAACGCGUGAAGUAGACCGCCUGGGGAGUACGGUCGCAAGAUUAAAACUCAAAGGAAUUGACGGGGACCCGCACAAGCGGUGGAUGAUGUGGAUUAAUUCGAUGCAACGCGAAAAACCUUACCUACCCUUGACAUGUCAGGAAGUCCGGAGAGAUCUGGACGUGCCCGAAAGGGAACCUGAACACAGGUGCUGCAUGGCUGUCGUCAGCUCGUGUCGUGAGAUGUUGGGUUAAGUCCCGCAACGAGCGCAACCCUUGUCAUUAGUUGCUACGAAAGGGCACUCUAAUGAGACUGCCGGUGACAAACCGGAGGAAGGUGGGGAUGACGUCAAGUCCUCAUGGCCCUUAUGGGUAGGGCUUCACACGUCAUACAAUGGUGCAUACAGAGGGCCGCCAACCCGCGAGGGGGAGCUAAUCCCAGAAAGUGCAUCGUAGUCCGGAUCGCAGUCUGCAACUCGACUGCGUGAAGUUGGAAUCGCUAGUAAUCGCGGAUCAGCAUGUCGCGGUGAAUACGUUCCCGGGUCUUGUACACACCGCCCGUCACACCAUGGGAGCGGGUUUUACCAGAAGUAGGUAGCUUAACCGUAAGGGGGGCGCUUACCACGGUAGGAUUCGUGACCGGGGUGAAG